AUUGAACGCUGGCGGCAGGCCUAACACAUGCAAGUCGAACGGUAACAGGAAGAAGCUUGCUUCUUUGCUGACGAGUGGCGGACGGGUGAGUAAUGUCUGGGAAACUGCCUGAUGGAGGGAGAUAACUACUGGAAACGGUAGCUAAUACCGCAUAACGUCGCAAGACCAAAGAGGGGGACCUUCGGGCCUCUUGCCAUCUGAUGUGCCCAGAUGGGAUUAGCUAGUAGGUGGGGUAACGGCUCACCUAGGCGACGAUCCCUAGCUGGUCUGAGAGGAUGACCAGCCACACUGGAACUGAGACACGGUCCAGACUCCUACGGGAGGCAGCAGUGGGGAAUAUUGCACAAUGGGCGCAAGCCUGAUGCAGCCAUGCCGCGUGUAUGAAGAAGGCCUUCGGGUUGUAAAGUACUUUCAGCGGGGAGGAAGGGAGUAAAGUUAAUACCUUUGCUCAUUGACGUUACCCGCAGAAGAAGCACCGGCUAACUCCGUG
rnacentral:rRNA from 1 species